GUUUAUAGCUAUAGCACCCUGAAUGUGCCAGAUCCUGUCUGAUCUUGCUAAGCAGGGUCAGGUAUCAUUAGUACUGGGAUGGGAGGGUAGUUACCAGACUUCUAGAUUGUCUUAAUCU
rnacentral:rRNA from 1 species